GAUGAACGCUGGCGGCGUGCCUAAUACAUGCAAGUCGAGCGAACAGACGAGGAGCUUGCUCCUUUGAUGUUAGCGGCGGACGGGUGAGUAACACGUAGGUAACCUACCUAUAAGACUGGGAUAACUUCGGGAAACCGGAGCUAAUACCGGAUAAUAUUUCGAACCGCAUGGUUCGAUAGUGAAAGAUGGCUUUGCUAUCACUUAUAGAUGGACCUGCGCCGUAUUAGCUAGUUGGUAAGGUAACGGCUUACCAAGGCAACGAUACGUAGCCGACCUGAGAGGGUGAUCGGCCACACUGGAACUGAGACACGGUCCAGACUCCUACGGGAGGCAGCAGUAGGGAAUCUUCCGCAAUGGGCGAAAGCCUGACGGAGCAACGCCGCGUGAGUGAUGAAGGUUUUCGGAUCGUAAAACUCUGUUAUUAGGGAAGAACAAACGUGUAAGUAACUGUGCACGUCUUGACGGUACCUAAUCAGAAAGCCACGGCUAACUACGUG
rnacentral:rRNA from 1 species